rnacentral:rRNA from 1 species
CGGGGACGGGUGAGUAAUGUUCGGUAGAACUGCCUGAUGGGGGAGGGGGAAUACUGGAAACGGUAGCUAAUACCGCAUAACGUCGCAAGACCAAAGAGGGGGACCUUCGGGCCUCUUGCCAUCGGAUGUGCCCAGAUGGGAUUAGCUAGUAGGUGGGGUAACGGCUCACCUAGGCGACGAUCCCUAGCUGGUCUGAGAGGAUGACCAGCCACACUGGAACUGAGACACGGUCCAG